CCCAGCAGCACAGGCAAUGGACUCCGGCGGACACGAACCCUCGCGCCCUCGACUUGUUAUGGUCUUAUGGAGCGGCGGAGAUAGGCAAUGGAUGGAAUACCCGGCGGCCUGUCCAGAGAAAAUACUUUUUCCCGUCGUCGUUCCCCGAUCAUGCAUGCCUCCAGUGCCACGUCUUGUCUAGUAUAGCUUUUACCUCUUCGGGGAUUUUGCCAUUCUUUUUUGGCUCUCCGGUACACUUGGCUUGUAACCUAAAAACAUGCAAGUUAUAAAGUGCAGCAACUGCAAAGGCAUUAUUGCAUGAUCAGUUGAUCACGAGGUAAAAGAUGCUCUUGUGUUGUGUAUGUGUUCGAUCAGCUCGGAGCCGCCCGAAACGCUUGUUGACUCAUUGUGUCGUGUUCAUCUUAAUUAAACGGACAUUAUUACUGCACUCGACGAAGAAAACGGUAGCAGGCCAGGGAAUAACUUUUCUACCUCUUUGGCACACUUGGCUUGUAUCCUAAAACAUGCAAGUUAUAAAGUGCAGCAACUGCAAAGGCAUUGCAUGAUCAGUUGAUCACGAGGUAAAAGAUGCUCUUGUGUUGUGUAUAUAUUUUCGAUCAGCUCGAAGCCGCCCGAAAAGCUUGUUGACUCAUUGCGUCGUCUUCAUGUUAAUUAAACGGACAGUUGUUACUGCACUCGAUGAAGAAAACGGUGUAUAGUAGCAGGGUAGGAAUAAAUUUCAAAGCUAUUAAAGGUCCAUCAGCCUUCGUUUUUUUUUUUUUCCAAGAACCUUCGUAUAGUGUCACUUGACCAGGGGCCGUACGGCCAAGUUACUUUAUUUCCUCCCGUCCAACAUGCAUUAUCUCUUUCUCGUUUUGCUUCGCGGUUUCUUCAGGGGCCGCCUAGUUCUUGGCAGACGACUACCGAAGAGUUUUGCCAAAGUCAAGUGUGCGGGAGAGCCGCCGUCGCAUGACUAGCGCGCCACCGUAACAUCUCCUCUCCCUCAAAAGAAAAAAAAAUCGGAAGAGGGGGAGAAUUGGAAGAGAGAGAACAAAAGAGAAAGAGGAGGCGGGCCCUGCACGGGACACGUUUCGGAUCGACCGUGCCAGCGGAGCUCCACAAAUGACUGAUUUUUGUUUAUUCUAGCUUCUUCCGUUACA
rnacentral:lncRNA from 1 species